rnacentral:lncRNA from 1 species
UAUCAUUACUACCUUUCCAGACUCCUCACGCUGUGCAUCCCCCCACGUACUCUGCGAGGCAGAAAUGGUAUAAAUGGAGUUCCUGGUCACAAUGCCAACGAGCACACUGACGCCUACUGGGCACCUUGUUCUCAUCCCAGUGAGAUGAUGGUGCCCUCAAAGGGUCAAGAGACACCUCAGCUACCAGUCCCUAGAUGAAAAGAAAAUAAUCAUUGCCCUCAAGAAGCUUACACUCCACCAGGAGGACCCUACACGCAUAGGUUAACAAAUACACCCUAUGUCAAGUGGAGUAAAUAAAAGUAGAGAUGCCAGCCUUGGAGUUCGGGUCCUGCCUCUGACCAUCCGAGCUGUGUGACUUUGGAAGUCAUGGAAACUCUCGGGGUCCCAGGCAACUCUCUAAUACUUCAAGUUAGAAUGGAGUUAGGAGUCUCUCACACCAGUGAAAUCACUGACCCCAAAUGGCUCCACCCCUGCCCAGCAAAGUGUCAAGAGUCCAGACAACUGCAGUAAUCAGAGGAGGCUUCCUAGAGGAGGUUGUCUUGGAUUGGGCUCGAUUGAAUGGAAUUGCAUUGGCUAAGCUGAGCACUUCCCCAUGCAUCUCUGCAGAUCCAGCCUCAGAAGGAGCUCAAAACGGUGGCCAUGGAUGAAGUGUGAUUCCAGGUAGCAUCUGAAAAGCUCAAUGACCAAUAAAAUCCAUGUCUACCUGGGUGAAUAAAGACCC